rnacentral:tRNA from 1 species
GGGAGUUUGGGUCUAGUGGUAUGAUUCUCGCUUUCGGGUGCGAGAGGCCGCGAGUUCAUUCUCGCAACUCCCC